rnacentral:tRNA from 2 species
GCAUUGGUGGUUCAGUGGUAGAAUUCUCGCCUGCCACGCGGGAGGCCCGGGUUCAUUUCCCAGACAAUGCA